GACGAACGCUGGCGGCGUGCUUAACACAUGCAAGUCGAACGAUGAAGCCGGAGCUUGCUCUGGUGAAUUAGUGGCGAACGGGUGAGUAACACGUGAGUAACCUGCCCUUGACUCUGGGAUAACUGCGGGAAACUGUAGCUAAUACCGGAUACGACCCUCGGAGGCAUCUCCUGGGGGUGGAAAGAAUUUCGGUCAAGGAUGGACUCGCGGCCUAUCAGCUAGUUGGUGAGGUAAAGGCUCACCAAGGCGACGACGGGUAGCCGGCCUGAGAGGGUGACCGGCCACACUGGGACUGGGACACGGCCCAGACUCCUACGGGAGGCAGCAGUGGGGAAUAUUGCACAAUGGGCGCAGGCCUGAUGCAGCGACGCCGCGUGAGGGAUGACGGCCUUCGGGUUGUAAACCUCUUUCAGCAUCGACGAAGCGAAAGUGACGGUAGGUGCAGAAGAAGGACCGGCCAACUACGUGCCAGCAGCCGCAGUAA
rnacentral:rRNA from 1 species